rnacentral:lncRNA from 10 species
CGCCCCCUUUCUUUCUCUGUCCUGAUGGAAAAUCAGAGUGCCUUGAUUGCUCUCUGACCUAGCCAGCGGCAGGUUUCCCUAGCAGGCUUGACCAUAAACCAGGGGCCUUGAACAUUCACAGGCCUGAUAAAGGUACCUAGGUUGUUGCCCAAAACACUGGAAGAAACUGGCCUCAACCCUGAGCCAAAUUCCUUUAAACUCUCAUCUGAACUCCAUACCCUGACCCCCUCACUGCGGACAUACCCAGGAACACCUUUCUCCCGGUGUCCGUCUUGACAAUUUCUGCAGCCCUCUGCAGGUUUCCCCCUAAACGCUUUUGGACUGAUCGCCUUGGCAUUCAGUGCUUCUUUUUCUGUCAUCCCAACCAGCCACAUCUCGGGAAGGUUUGAAGCACUCCCUCGUGGGAACUCUCUUGCCGCUGCUUUUGGGGCGAUUCCAGCCUCGGGUUCGAAAGAACAAAGUAACUGCACAUUUUGUGCGCGUAUACUUGCAUUAAAUUUUUUUAACAAGAAUGACUGGAUGAAAAAGCAUGUGAAUUUAAAAUGCUGAUGGUUCUUGCCACAUUGCCAGGAUAGGAUCCUUUUAGAAGGGGAAACAAAUCAAGAACCUGUACAAAGAGAUGUGGAAUGCUCCUUGGCCAUGCUGGAUAAGGAGCUGGCUGCCUCUGUGAACAUCCUACUCAAGGCAUCUUCACUGCUGUACAUCCUUUUGAAAUCCCAGAGAUCUUCAGUCUCCCUGUGGAUUAAGGAGAUGUGCAGUAUUUAAAGUGGCUUCAGGAAGGCAUGGAAGAGGACUGAGUGGGGAAAGCUUUUUGUGCAUGCUGCUGGCUACCUCCAGCGGCUGCCUCCAGCCUCCAUCAGCUGCACUCUGGGGAAGAGGAGGCUGCCUUCUACCUCCCAGCAUCUC